CCAAGCCAGGCCAGGCCAGGCAGGGGCCGAGCCAACAUGGAGCAGUUACCCAGGAAAGUCCUCCUCUGGCAUCUCCUGCUCCUGCAGACCUGCAGUGUCCACUUGUUCUCAGCCACAUCCCCAGGGUCAGGGGGCAGCACGGUGGUGUCCGAAGCCAGCCUGAGCCAGCCCGCCGGAGCCCGCGCUCUCCUUCGGUGCCAAAGCCUACGCAUGGUGUGGACGCAGGACCGCCUG